rnacentral:rRNA from 1 species
UACGUAGGGUGCAAGCGUUGUCCGGAAUCAUUGGGCGUAAAGAGCUCGUAGGCGGUUUGUCGCGUCUGCUGUGAAAUCUGGGGGCUCAACCCCCAGCCUGCAGUGGGUACGGGCAGACUAGAGUGCGGUAGGGGAGAGUGGAAUUCCUGGUGUAGCGGUGGAAUGCGCAGAUAUCAGGAGGAACACCGAUGGCGAAGGCAGAUCUCUGGGCCGUAACUGACGCUGAGGAGCGAAAGCGUGGGGAGCGAACAGG